rnacentral:rRNA from 1 species
UGGGGAAUAUUGGACAAUGGGCGAAAGCCUGAUCCAGCCAUGCCGCGUGUGUGAAGAAGGUCUUCGGAUUGUAAAGCACUUUAAGUUGGGAGGAAGGGCAGUAAGCGAAUACCUUGCUGUUUUGACGUUACCGACAGAAUAAGCACCGGCUAACUCUGUGCCAGCAGCCGCGGUAAUACAGAGGGUGCAAGCGUUAAUCGGAAUUACUGGGCGUAAAGCGCGCGUAGGUGGUUCGUUAAGUUGAAUGUGAAAGCCCCGGGCUCAACCUGGGAACUGCAUCCAAAACUGGCGGGCUAGAGUAGGGCAGAGGGUGGUGGAAUUUCCUGUGUAGCGGUGAAAUGCGUAGAUAUAGGAAGGAACACCAGUGGCGAAGGCGACCACCUGGGCUCAUACUGACACUGAGGUACGAAAGCAUGGGGAGCAAACAGG